rnacentral:rRNA from 1 species
GACGAACCGAGCGAACGUUAUUCGGAAUCACUGGGCGUAAAGGGCGCGUAGGUGGCCCGACAAGUCACUGGUGAAAGCUCGACGCUCAACGUCGAGUCGGCCAGUGAUACUGUUGGGCUGGAGCACUGUAGAGGCUCAUGGAAUUCCGGGUGUAGCGGUGGAAUGCGUAGAGAUCCGGAAGAACACCGGUGGCGAAGGCGGUGAGCUGGGCAGUAGCUGACACUGAGGCACGACAGCGUGGGGAGCAAACAGG